UUUUUCCUGUGGACUGCUGUUUAUGUACAUUUUAAAAUGGAUCGUCCAUGCCUGCGUUUCGCUUUGGUGGCCAUACCCUUUUCUUGAUUUGUCAUCUACAUUUGCUCCACUAUGAUGGUUUUAGACAUACAAAUGUGGAUAUGAUUUUUUUUGACAAGUACGGAAGGGCAUUGUUUUUAUACGUCUACCCGUAUAUAUAAUGGUUUGUACAAAUUAUUUUUUUGGUGUGGU